rnacentral:lncRNA from 1 species
AAAAAUAUUGUCCUUAAGCAAUCUACAAAAUAUCAUCUAUAACCCAACAAUCCCCUAUGUCAGUACCAUUACUGAGCAGUUGAAGCCUGACUCUUUGAUUGUAAUCCGUGGGCAUGUUCCUAAAGAUUCAGAAAGAUUCCAGGUAGACUUUCAGCAUGGCAACAGCCUGAAGCCGAGAGCUGAUGUGGCCUUCCACUUUAACCCUCGCUUCAAAAGGUUCAACUGCAUUGUUUUUAACACACUGA